AGGAGAAAACAUAUUUUCAUUUGGUGUUUUUGAUUAAUGUGGUGACCCCCAAACUCUGCUUUCCAUGGCAGUCCCCUCGGGGCGGCGGGGGCCUCGCCGCCUCACUGUGUCGAGGUGACGGAGGCGUGGCCAGUCUUUGGCCGGCGGCGACGGCGACUCGUGGCUCAUGGUCAUAAACUAUGAUUAACUGAGCCUCAAAGUUUAUAGAAACGUAUUCCUAGACAACCUUCACUCAGGAACAACAUAUAAAGAAAUCAAAACCUGGGAGAGAACGUUCUUUUAUCAACCACUGCAGCGUCUGUUUUUCCUUAAUUCUCUGUUUUGUUUAUGAAUCUAUUUAUUUCUUUGUGUUUGUGGUGGGUGAGGUGGUGGAGGGAGUGCUGGGUGUGCAGCUCCUCGGCCAGCCACGGCUCGCUGGAGUGCAAGUGUCGGGCAGCGGAGCAUGAGCGUAACCUUCCACCACCUGUUGCUUAGGUAACGUGGCUCAACGCGGCUUGGCCAACGGAACCGUAAAGAGAGUGAAGGUGAAUAAUAGGACGUGGCGCGGCUUCUGGCACAUGUGACGUAGUGCUUCUCCCGCUCCCACGCCACAGUGCUGCCGCCGCGGGACCGCUGCUUUCUAAAUACAGUGUUGUGUGCAGGGCCCCGCCGCCGCCGCCGCCGCCACCACCACCACCUCGCCUAUGCACCUGAAUGAUUCUCUCUCGUUUUCGCAAUAUAAAUUUAAUUUGCCUGAAUCAUAUAGAAAGUGACGUUUCCAGAGCUGCAAUAAAUUGGUUUUAUGUACUUAUUUGUUGCAUUGGAGUAGAUAUCCUCCUCCAGUCAUUCUUACUCGCACCCUUUUUCCUAGUUGCAAUAAUUAGGAGUUAUGUGUUUUUUGAUGUUGCAGGUUGUGUCAUUGGAAUAGAUAUUCAUCUCUAGCCAUUCCACCCGUACCCUCGGCGGGGCUCUGCUGAACAUGUUCCUCUCGGGAAAGUGGGCGAACCUCACACGUGACUCGGCAGAUCGUCUCUCCAGCUCCACAAGAUGACCCACUCCUGCAGCCCCUUCCUUUCUCCUUCCUCGUCCCUCUAGGCAGUAAGAACAAGUGCAGCAGCCGUGCCAGGAGACAUGUGAGACGACGCUUUGGUAUUGUCUGCACUGGCCCAAAACAAGCCUGUGAGGGAAGCUCCAUGAAGCCCCAAACCGCUGCUCCGCCACUCGCCGCCUCGCUGCUCCACGCAUCGCCUGCAGUGCCCCACAUCCGUGUCUCGCCAGUGCUGCCUCCCUCUCCCUCCUGGCCUUUACGUGCACGUCUCCGGCUCAUCGCCACACCCCAUAUCCUCCUCACCCUGCCCCGCCCGUGUAGACAUCUAACCCACUGAAAGCGAAAGCUGGGCCUUUGUGGUUGCUGUGGACGCAUGGAGUCGUCGAGUGCCUGGGCCGUAGCUGUUGGCAGGAGUCUCCAGGGCUAAUGUGAUGGAGAUGAGCACUGAGGCCACGCGCAGUUAUAGUAUAUGCCCUACAACUUUACCUUACCUCCAGUGUCUGCCAAACAUCAGCUGAGGGCCCAGCAACCAAGACUAGCUCAUGACCAAGGUUACAACAAAUGCCAAGACUUUCCCCACAUGAGUGAUGGACCUGCAGCGGUACAGCGUGUCCUGCAGCCAGAUUCUACACCUGUACUACAAGACUGGACCGUAUAUCCAUACAACUAGUAGUACAAUAGUAAAUUUGUCCUUAGGUAGGUCUUUGCAGUCCCAAUUAAUAAAGUUAAAGUGGUG